AGGACAAACGCUGGCGGCGUACUUAAGACAUGCAAGUCGAACGGGCGCUUCACCUUCGGGUGGGUGUGCUAGUGGCGGACGGGUGAGUAACGCGUAGGAACCUGUCAUCAAGAGGGGGAUAACGCUGGGAAACCGGCGCUAAUACCGCAUGUGGUCAUGAAAAUGAAGAAAGCAGCAAUGCGCUUGAUGAGGGGCCUGCGUCCGAUUAGCUUGUUGGUGGGGUAAAGGCCUACCAAGGCAUCGAUCGGUAGCUGGUCUGAGAGGAUGGUCAGCCACACUGGGACUGAGACACGGCCCAGACUCCUACGGGAGGCAGCAGUUAGGAAAUUUUCCCAAUGGGCGCAAGCCUGAGGGAGUAACGCCGCGUGGAGGAUGACGGCUUUCGGGUUGUAAACUCCUUUUCUGUGGGAAGAGUAGAAGACGGUACCGCAGGAAUAAGCCUCGGCUAACUACGUGCCAGCACGCCGC
rnacentral:rRNA from 1 species